rfam:Gorilla gorilla gorilla genomic chromosome, chr17, whole genome shotgun sequence
GCUGGGUGUGCUGGCACAUGCCUGUAAUCCCAGCUACUUGGGAGGCUAAAGCAGGAGGAUUGCUUGAGUCCAGGAGGUCUAGUUUACAGUGAGCUAUGACUGUACCACUGCACUCCAGCCUGGGCAACAGAGUGAGACCUUGUCUUUU